rnacentral:rRNA from 1 species
AGUGAACGCUGGCGGUAGGCCUAACACAUGCAAGUCGAACGGCAGCACAGUAAGAGCUUGCUCUUACGGGUGGCGAGUGGCGGACGGGUGAGGAAUACAUCGGAAUCUACUUUUUCGUGGGGGCUAACGUAGGGAAACUUACGCUAAUACCGCAUACGACCUACGGGUGAAAGCAGGGGAUCUUCGGACCUUGCGCGAUUGAAUGAGCCGAUGUCGGAUUAGCUAGUUGGCGGGGUAAAGGCCCACCAAGGCGAAGAUCCCUAGCUGGCCUGAGAGGAUGAUAGGCCAAGAAGCAAUUGAGAACCGGGCCGAGCCCCAACGGGGGGAAGAAGGGGGGAAUAUUGACAAAUGGGCGCACGCCGUACCCAGCCAAACCGGGUGGGGGAAGAAACCUUUCGGGUUGUAAAAACCUUUUGUUGGAAAAGAAAACCAAAAGGUUAAUCCCCCGCUGUCUGGGAGGAACCAAAAGAAUAAGCACCGGCUAACUUCGG